AUGUGGUUGAGUGAUCACCAGAUAAUAAUUCAUAAGUCCCUAUGCUUCACGGUAUAGGAAGCAUAUAUAUCUGCAGUACUGGCGGAGAUUCAUUCUGCACAAAGUGUGUCUGCUGGACCAGAGGCUGUGGUAAUGCCACGCUUUCACUCCAUGUAGUGCCCAAUUGCACUCAGUUCAUUGGGUAUUUGGUCUAAUUGCCUUUUUAUGUAUAGAUGAUGAAGCACAUGACCUGGCAGAAUUUUCCCCCACUCCCGAUGGCCGUUUCCAUCUCUGCAAGGGGGUGAAAAUCACAGCAGACCAGGCGGCAAAGAUUUUAAGAAACAAGAAGGCCACGAUUGUCAAACGUGAUACAGCCCAAGCAAUUUGGGGUCUCGAGGCAUGGCCCUAAGAACAGUGAGUGGCCGAUUAGUGCCUGGUGAGACAACAAAGCAGCUCACACCUGCCAAAGUUCAAGUUGUGCAAGAAUGCCUGGCCUACUGGGGCAGAACAAACAACCAGGACAUUGCAGUGGCUGCCCAUGGAGUGCUGAGGGUCUUAAGUGAAAAGAUUCAAGAUGUGAAAAAGAAGCUUAAGCUCGGCAAGGAGUAGUCUCCGAGGAGUGUAGCCUUUACUGGCAAUAAAGUCUCUUCUGAAACCUUGCCUCGUUAUUGCAUGAGGAAGUACACGUUUUUGACUGGGAACAGCAUGUUUCUCGUUUGAAAUGCUCCCGACAUCACACCUGCAUUGCUUCUAUUUCUGGCUGGAACGGUUUCCAUUUCCGGGUGGAUUGGCAUCCAUUUCCGG